UAUUAAGUUAUUUUGAUUCGGUUUAAAUUAAAAAAAUAUUUUAUUCAUUUACAAAUUUAAAUCAAUUUUUUUAUUAAAGUUAUUUUGAUUUAAUUUUUAUGUUAAAAAUUUAAUAAAAAAAUUAUUUAGUAAACUAAUAAAUCAAACUAAAUCGAUGCUCACUCUAUACUUUUUUUUAUGCUUUAUUUUAUUGAUAAAUUACUGAAUAUUUCUG
rnacentral:misc_RNA from 1 species